rnacentral:rRNA from 1 species
ACACAUGCAGUCGAGCGGCAGCGGGAAAGUAGCUUGCUACUUUUGCCGGCGAGCGGCGGACGGGUGAGUAAUGCCUGGGGAUCUGCCCAGUCGAGGGGGAUAACAGUUGGAAACGACUGCUAAUACCGCAUACGCCCUACGGGGGAAAGGAGGGGACCUUCGGGCCUUUCGCGAUUGGAUGAACCCAGGUGGGAUUAGCUAGUUGGUGAGGUAAUGGCUCACCAAGGCGACGAUCCCUAGCUGGUCUGAGAGGAUGAUCAGCCACACUGGAACUGAGACACGGUCCAGACUCCUACGGGAGGCAGCAGUGGGGAAUAUUGCACAAUGGGGGAAACCCUGAUGCAGCCAUGCCGCGUGUGUGAAGAAGGCCUUCGGGUUGUAAAG